GAUGAACGCUGGCGGCGUGCCUAAUACAUGCAAGUCGAGCGAACGGACGAGAAGCUUGCUUCUCUGAUGUUAGCGGCGGACGGGUGAGUAACACGUGGAUAACCUACCUAUAAGACUGGGAUAACUUCGGGAAACCGGAGCUAAUACCGGAUAAUAUUUUGAACCGCAUGGUUCAAAAGUGAAAGACGGUCUUGCUGUCACUUAUAGAUGGAUCCGCGCUGCAUUAGCUAGUUGGUAAGGUAACGGCUUACCAAGGCAACGAUGCAUAGCCGACCUGAGAGGCUGAUCGGCCACACUAGAACUGAGACACGGUCCAGACUCCUACGGGAGGCAGCAGUCGGGAAUCUUCCGCAAAGGGCGAAAGCCUGACGGAGCAACGCCGCGUGUGUGAUGAAGGUCUUCGGAUCGUAAAACUCUGUUAUUAGGGAAGAACAGAUGUGUAAGUAAAUGUGCACAUCUUGACGGUACCUAAUCAGAAAGCCCCGGCUAACUACGUG
rnacentral:rRNA from 1 species